UACGGAGGGGGCUAGCGUUGUUCGGAAUUACUGGGCGUAAAGGGCUCGUAGGCGGCCAACUAAGUCAGACGUGAAAUCCCUCGGCUUAACCGGGGAACUGCGUCUGAUACUGGAUGGCUUGAGUUUGGGAGAGGGAUGCGGAAUUCCAGGUGUAGCGGUGAAAUGCGUAGAUAUCGGGAAGAACACCCGUGGCGAAGGCGGUUCUCUGGGACGGUACUGACGCUGAGACGCGAAAGCGUGUGGAGCGAACAGG
rnacentral:rRNA from 1 species